rnacentral:rRNA from 1 species
AAUCAACGCUGGCGGCGUGCCUAACACAUGCAAGUCGAACGCGAAAGUCCCGCAAGGGAUGAGUAGAGUGGCAAACGGGUGAGUAACGCGUGGGUGACCUGCCUUCGAGCGGGGAUAACGUUCCGAAAGGGACGCUAAUACCGCAUAACAUCCUGCCUUUUAAGAGGUGGAGAUCAAAGCCGGGGAUCGCAAGACCUAGCACUUGAAGAGGGGCCC